rnacentral:rRNA from 1 species
AGAUUAAGUUAUUAAGGGCGCACGGUGGAUGCCUUGGCACUAGAAGCCGAUGAAGGACGUUACUAACGACGAUAUGCUUUGGGGAGCUGUAAGUAAGCUUUGAUCCAGAGAUUUCCGAAUGGGGAAACCCAGCAUGAGUUAUGUCAUGUUAUCGAUAUGUGAAUACAUAGCAUAUCAGAAGGCACACCCGGAGAACUGAAACAUCUUAGUACCCGGAGGAAGAGAAAGAAAAUUCGAUUCCCUUAGUAGCGGCGAGCGAAACGGGAAGAGCCCAAACCAACAAGCUUGCUUGUUGGGGUUGUAGGACACUCUAUACGGAGUUACAAAGGACGACAUUAGACGAAUCAUCUGGAAAGAUGAAUCAAAGAAGGUAAUAAUCCUGUAGUCGAAAAUGUUGUCUCUCUUGAGUGGAUCCUGAGUACGACGGGACACGUGAAAUUCCGUCGGAAUCUGGGAGGACCAUCUCCUAAGGCUAAAUACUCUCUAGUGACCGAUAGUGAACCAGUACCGUGAGGGAAAGGUGAAAAGCACCCCGGAAGGGGAGUGAAAUAGAACCUGAAACCGUGUGCUUACAAGUAGUCAGAGCCCGUUAAUGGGUGAUGGCGUGCCUUUUGUAGAAUGAACCGGCGAGUUACGAUUUGAUGCAAGGUUAAGCAGUAAAUGUGGAGCCGUAGCGAAAGCGAGUCUGAAUAGGGCGUUUAGUAUUUGGUCGUAGACCCGAAACCAGGUGAUCUACCCUUGGUCAGGUUGAAGUUCAGGUAACACUGAAUGGAGGACCGAACCGACUUACGUUGAAAAGUGAGCGGAUGAACUGAGGGUAGCGGAGAAAUUCCAAUCGAACCUGGA